rnacentral:rRNA from 1 species
AGAGUUUGAUCCUGGCUCAGAUUGAACGCUGGCGGCAUGCCUUACACAUGCAAGUCGAACGGUAACGCGGGGGCAACCCUGGCGACGAGUGGCGAACGGGUGAGUAAUACAUCGGAACAUAUCCAGUAGCGGGGGAUAACCUAUCGAAAGAUGGACUAAUACCGCAUACGAUCUACGGAUGAAAGCAGGGGACCGCAAGGCCUUGCACUAUUGGAGUGGCCGAUGUCGGAUUAGCUAGUUGGUGAGGUAAAGGCUUACCAAGGCGACGAUCCGUAGCUGGUCUGAGAGGACGAUCAGCCACACUGGACUGAGACACGGUCCAGACUCCUACGGGAGGCAGCAGUGGGGAAUUUUGGACAAUGGGCGCAAGCCUGAUCCAGCCAUGCCGCGUGAGUGAAGAAGGCCUUCGGGUUGUAAAGCUCUUUCGGUGAAGACGAAACGGUUAGCGCUAAUAACGCUGACUAAUGACGGUACUCACAGAAGAAGCACCGGCUAACUACGUGCCAGCAGCCGCGGUAAUACGUAGGGUGCAGGCGUUAAUCGGAAUUACUGGGCGUAAAGCGUGCGCAGGCGGUUUGCUAAGACAGGUGUGAAAUCCCCGAGCUUAACUUGGGAAUUGCGCUUGUAACUGGCAAGCUAGAGUGUGGCAGAGGGGGGUGGAAUUCCACGUGUAGCAGUGAAAUGCGUAGAUAUGUGGAGGAACACCGAUGGCGAAGGCAGCCCCCUGGGUUAACACUGACGCUCAUGCACGAAAGCGUGGGGAGCAAACAGGAUUAGAUACCCUGGUAGUCCACGCCCUAAACUAUGUCAACUAGUUGUCGGGGAAGAAAUUCCUUGGUAACGAAGCUAACGCGUGAAGUUGACCGCCUGGGGAGUACGGCCGCAAGGUUAAAACUCAAAGGAAUUGACGGGGACCCGCACAAGCGGUGGAUUAUGUGGAUUAAUUCGAUGCAACGCGAAAAACCUUACCUACCCUUGACAUGCUAGGAAGCCCGCAGAGAUGUGGGUGUGCCCGAAAGGGAACCUAGACACAGGUGCUGCAUGGCUGUCGUCAGCUCGUGUCGUGAGAUGUUGGGUUAAGUCCCGCAACGAGCGCAACCCUUGCCAUUAGUUGCUACAUUCAGUUGGGCACUCUAAUGGGACCGCCGGUGACAAACCGGAGGAAGGUGGGGAUGACGUCAAGUCCUCAUGGCCCUUAUGGGUAGGGCUUCACACGUAAUACAAUGGUCGGUACAGAGGGCUGCCAACCCGCAAGGGGGAGCUAAUCCCAGAAAGCCGAUCGUAGUCCGGAUUGUAGUCUGCAACUCGACUGCAUGAAGCCGGAAUCGCUAGUAAUCGCGGAUCAGCAUGUCGCGGUGAAUACGUUCCCGGGUCUUGUACACACCGCCCGUCACACCAUGGGAGUGGGUUCCACCAGAAGUAGUUAGCCUAACCGCAAGGAGGGCGAUUACCACGGUGAGAUUCAUGACUGGGGUGAAGUCGUAACAAGGUA